rnacentral:lncRNA from 1 species
UUUUUUGAUCGGCCGCUCCAAUAUUUCCCUCCCAAAAGCACCUUACACCUCUACAACUAUACAAACCUAUCCAUCCUCCAUGUUUACACGCAACACACAUGAAUCCACAGUCAAAGACCCCCUCCCCCUCUCCUGAUUCUUUUCGGCAGACACGCCGAAACCGGUGACAACGCUGACGGGUUGUUCCGAUGAAACCCCGACCACAAAUCUCCAAUUCCUUCUCCCGGCUACUCCCUUCCUCCUCUUUUCUCGUCUGAUUGGCAGCCACGGCGACAGAGGGUCGCGGAGUCAAUAAUGAAGGUGAUGAAGAUGGUGGUGGAGCAACGCCGACGACGUCUUCAGGUCGACCUGCGUUGCGGCGUCUGCGGCGGUGGACGACGGUGGUGGUUCACGGCUCGGGUUAUUUCAGUUUAGUCCGCACCGGUCAAACUGGUUCAAAUUGUGUUCGGGUUAGUUCACUCGGGUGAACUCAGGUGACUUGGUUCAGCUUGGUUCGGGUCUCGACUCGAGUUUCGGUCGACAUCAGUUCGGGUUCGGCAGUGGAGGUAGUCGUGGGUUACCCGUGUUUCGGUUCAAGACUUCAAGUUUAGUUUCAAUUCACUUGUUUCAGUCCAUGUUUGGGUCUCGGUUCAGCCUUCACCGAGUCAACUUGGUGUCUUGAGUUCCAGUUCAGUCAGAUUUCGGAUCGGGAUUCACGUCGGAGUUUAACGCGACUCGUUUCGGAAGAAGAAGACCACCUUUUUCUUUCUUUUAGUUUCUUGGUGAUGGCUUAUGAGUUGAUUGUUGAGGUGAUAUUCAAGAUGAAACAAGAUUUAGGGUGGACUAGAUACACACCUAGAUUAAUCUAUCUUUUAUUGUUAUGAUUUAUGUUGAAACAAUGUUGUUAUUUUUGUUUGAAUCUUGUAUGACAAUUAGUCCUGAAAUGAAAUUCGAAUU